GGGCCUGUAGCUCAGCCUGGGAGAGCACCACGCUGAAGCCGUGGGUGUCGAGGGUUCAAAUCCCUCCGGGCCCA
rnacentral:tRNA from 1 species